rnacentral:pre_miRNA from 1 species
CGUUUGUCCGAUCGCCGUUUGUCCGAUUGGUCGUUUGUCCAAAAACUUUCGGACAAACGACCAGCCGGACAAACGGCGUCGGACAAACGUAC